rnacentral:rRNA from 1 species
GUGUGACUGCGUACCUUUUGUAUAAUGGGUCAGCGACUUAUAUUCUGUAGCAAGGUUAACCGAAUAGGGGAGCCGAAGGGAAACCGAGUCUUAACUGGGCGUUAAGUUGCAGGGUAUAGACCCGAAACCCGGUGAUCUAGCCAUGGGCAGGUUGAAGGUUGGGUAACACUAACUGGAGGACCGAACCGACUAAUGUUGAAAAAUUAGCGGAUGACUUGUGGCUGGGGGUGAAAGGCCAAUCAAACCGGGAGAUAGCUGGUUCUCCCCGAAAGCUAUUUAGGUAGCGCCUCGUGAAUUCAUCUCCGGGGGUAGAGCACUGUUUCGGCAAGGGGGUCAUCCCGACUUACCAACCCGAUGCAAACUGCGAAUACCGGAGAAUGUUAUCACGGGAGACACACGGCGGGUGCUAACGUCCGUCGUGAAGAGGGAAACAACCCAGACCGCCAGCUAAGGUCCCAAAGUCAUGGUUAAGUGGGAAACGAUGUGGGAAGGCCCAGACAGCCAGGAUGUUGGCUUAGAAGCAGCCAUCAUUUAAAGAAAGCGUAAUAGCUCACUGGUCGAGUCGGCCUGCGCGGAAGAUGUAACGGGGCUAAACCAUGCACCGAAGCUGCGGCAGCGACGCUGAUGCGUUGUUGGGUAGGGGAGCGUUCUGUAAGCCUGCGAAGGUGUGCUGUGAGGCAUGCUGGAGGUAUCAGAAGUGCGAAUGCUGACAUAAGUAACGAUAAAGCGGGUGAAAAGCCCGCUCGCCGGAAGACCAAGGGUUCCUGUCCAACGUUAAUCGGGGCAGGGUGAGUCGACCCCUAAGGCGAGGCCGAAAGGCGUAGUCGAUGGGAAACAGGUUAAUAUUCCUGUACUUGGUGUUACUGCGAAGGGGGGACGGAGAAGGCUAUGUUGGCCGGGCGACGGUUGUCCCGGUUUAAGCGUGUAGGCUGGUUUUCCAGGCAAAUCCGGAAAAUCAAGGCUGAGGCGUGAUGACGAGGCACUACGGUGCUGAAGCAACAAAUGCCCUGCUUCCAGGAAAAGCCUCUAAGCAUCAGGUAACAUCAAAUCGUACCCCAAACCGACACAGGUGGUCAGGUAGAGAAUACCAAGGCGCUUGAGAGAACUCGGGUGAAGGAACUAGGCAAAAUGGUGCCGUAACUUCGGGAGAAGGCACGCUGAUAUGUAGGUGAAGUCCCUCGCGGAUGGAGCUGAAAUCAGUCGAAGAUACCAGCUGGCUGCAACUGUUUAUUAAAAACACAGCACUGUGCAAACACGAAAGUGGACGUAUACGGUGUGACGCCUGCCCGGUGCCGGAAGGUUAAUUGAUGGGGUCAGCGCAAGCGAAGCUCUUGAUCGAAGCCCCGGUAAACGGCGGCCGUAACUAUAACGGUCCUAAGGUAGCGAAAUUCCUUGUCGGGUAAGUUCCGACCUGCACGAAUGGCGUAAUGAUGGCCAGGCUGUCUCCACCCGAGACUCAGUGAAAUUGAACUCGCUGUGAAGAUGCAGUGUACCCGCGGCAAGACGGAAAGACCCCGUGAACCUUUACUAUAGCUUGACACUGAACAUUGAGCCUUGAUGUGUAGGAUAGGUGGGAGGCUUUGAAGUGUGGACGCCAGUCUGCAUGGAGCCGACCUUGAAAUACCACCCUUUAAUGUUUGAUGUUCUAACGUUGACCCGUGAUCCGGGUUGCGGACAGUGUCUGGUGGGUAGUUUGACUGGGGCGGUCUCCUCCUAAAGAGUAACGGAGGAGCACGAAGGUUGGCUAAUCCUGGUCGGACAUCAGGAGGUUAGUGCAAUGGCAUAAGCCAGCUUGACUGCGAGCGUGACGGCGCGAGCAGGUGCGAAAGCAGGUCAUAGUGAUCCGGUGGUUCUGAAUGGAAGGGCCAUCGCUCAACGGAUAAAAGGUACUCCGGGGAUAACAGGCUGAUACCGCCCAAGAGUUCAUAUCGACGGCGGUGUUUGGCACCUCGAUGUCGGCUCAUCACAUCCUGGGGCUGAAGUAGGUCCCAAGGGUAUGGCUGUUCGCCAUUUAAAGUGGUACGCGAGCUGGGUUUAGAACGUCGUGAGACAGUUCGGUCCCUAUCUGCCGUGGGCGCUGGAGAACUGAGGGGGGCUGCUCCUAGUACGAGAGGACCGGAGUGGACGCAUCACUGGUGUUCGGGUUGUCAUGCCAAUGGCACUGCCCGGUAGCUAAAUGCGGAAGAGAUAAGUGCUGAAAGCAUCUAAGCACGAAACUUGCCCCGAGAUGAGUUCUCCCUGACUCCUUGAGAGUCCUGAAGGAACGUUGAAGACGACGACGUUGAUAGGCCGGGUGUGUAAGCGCAGCGAUGCGUUGAGCUAACCGGUACUAAUGAACCGUGAGGCUUAACCUU